rnacentral:rRNA from 1 species
CAAUAGCGUAUAUUAAAGUUGUUGCAGUUAAAAAGCUCGUAGUUGGAUUUCUGGUGGGAGCGAUCGGUCUGGCGCUUAGCGCGAGUACUUGCAUCGUCUCCGGCCAUCCUUGGGGAGGGUCUGUCUGGCAUUAAGUUGUCGGGCAGAGGAUCCUCAUCGUUUACUGUGAAAAAAUUAGAGUGUUCAAAGCAGGCUUAUGCCGUUGAAUAUAUUAGCAUGGAAUAAUAAGAUAGGACUUUGGUACUAUUUUGUUGGUUUGCGCACCAAAGUAAUGAUUAAUAGGGACAGUUGGGGGUAUUCGUAUUCCGUUGUCAGAGGUGAAAUUCUUGGAUUUACGGAAGACGAACUACUGCGAAAGCAUUUACCAAGGAUGUUUUCAUUAA